rnacentral:misc_RNA from 1 species
CAAGGAAAAACGACACGGG